GUACCAUGGCUGCUGGUCAGAAUGAGCACCCUGUAAGGAGGGUCCAAGUCUCAUGAGUCACUAUUUGUCGUGCCAGCCCCCCGCCCCCGAGAAACUCUGUCCAGGGUCCCUGCCCAUCACCCUCCCUUGCCAGCUGGCCUGGAAUUGCACCGCCUCGCCUCCCUGUGGCUCAUGGCCUGGCCUCUGGAGAUGAGACAUUCUGCAGCCGUUGCUGGGUUGCCAAGGAAGAGAAGAAAGAAGGAAGGACGGCGCGAGGAAAAAUCCGUCGGACGGGAGGAAAGGAAAGGGAGGAAGCCCCUGAAGCUGGAGGGGAAGGAAUGGGACCCUGGACAGAGUGAGCCCCCCC